GCCCGUACCGAAAAUGGACACACAUGGGUGAGGAGAGAAUCCUAAGGUGAGCGAGAGAACUAUAGCUAAGGAACUCUGCAAAAUGACUCCGUAACUUAGGGAGAAGGAGUGCUCAUAGAGAUAUGAGCCGCAGUGAAACGGCCCAAGCGACUGUUUACCAAAAACACAGCUCUCUGCUAAGCCGCAAGGCGAAGUAUAGGGGGUGACGCCUGCCCGGUGCUGGAAGGUUAAGGGGAGGGGUUAACGCAAGUGAAGCCCUGAACUGAAGCCCCAGUAAACGGCGGCCGUAACUAUAACGGUCCUAAGGUAGCGAAAUUCCUUGUCAGGUAAGUUCUGACCCGCACGAAAGGCGUAACGAUUUGGGCGCUGUCUCAGCUGUAGACUCGGUGAAGUCUUAGUACCUGUGAAGAUGCAGGUUACCCGCGACUAGACGGAAAGACCCCAUGGAGCUUUACUGUAGCUUGAUAUUGGAUUUUGAUGCAUGAUGUACAGGAUAGGUAGGAGACGAAGAGACGGAUACGCCAGUAUUCGAGGAGUCGCCGUUGGGAUACUACCCUUCAUGUAUUGAAGUUCUAACCGGACGCCAUAAGCUGGCGACGGGACAGUGUCAGGUGGGCAGUUUGACUGGGGCGGUCGCCUCCCAAAGAGUAACGGAGGCGCCCAAAGAUACCCUCAGCAUGGUUGGAAAUCAUGCGUAGAGUGCAAAGGCAAAAGGGUGUUUGACUGCGAGACCAACAAGUCGAGCAGGGACGAAAGUCGGGCUUAGUGAUCCGGCGGUGCCGAAUGGAAGGGCCGUCGCUCAACGGAUAAAAGCUACCCUGGGGAUAACAGGCUGAUCUCCCCCAAGAGUUCACAUCGACGGGGAGGUUUGGCACCUCGAUGUCGGCUCAUCGCAUCCUGGAGCUGAAGUCGGUUCCAAGGGUUGGGCUGUUCGCCCAUUAAAGCGGUACGCGAGCUGGGUUCAGAACGUCGUGAGACAGUUCGGUCCCUAUCUGUCGUGGGCGUAGGAAGUUUGAGGAGAGCUGCCCUCAGUACGAGAGGACCGGGGUGGACAGACCAAUGGUGCACCAGUUGUCACGCCAGUGGCACAGCUGGGUAGCUAAGUCUGGAAGGGAUAAACGCUGAAGGCAUCUAAGUGUGAAGCCCCCUCCAAGAUGAGACUUCCCAUUCUUCGGAAGUAAGACCCCUCAAAGACGAUGAGGUUGAUAGGUCAGAGGUGUAAGCGCAGCGAUGUGCUGAGCUGACUGAUACUAAUAGGUCGAGGACUUAACCAG
rnacentral:rRNA from 1 species